CGUGUAGGCGGAGAUGCAAGUUGGGAGUGAAAUCUAUGGGCUUAACCCAUAAACUGCUCUCAAAACUGUAUCCCUUGAGUAUCGGAGAGGCAAGCGGAAUUCCUAGUGUAGCGGUGAAAUGCGUAGAUAUUAGGAGGAACACCAGUGGCGAAGGCGGCUUGCUGGACGACAACUGACGCUGAGGCGCGAAAGCGUGGGGAACAAACA
rnacentral:rRNA from 1 species